rnacentral:rRNA from 1 species
AACGAACGCUGGCGGCAUGCCUAAUACAUGCAAGUCGAACGAGGUGCCUGGCUUCGGCUGGACCACCUAGUGGCGGACGGGUGAGUAACGCGUAGGAACCUGCCUUGUAGUGGGGAAUAACAGCUGGAAACGGCUGCUAAUACCGCAUACGCCCCUUCGGGGGGAAAGAUUUAUCGCUAUGAGAGGGUCCUGCGUUCGAUUAGCUAGUUGGUGAGGUAACGGCUCACCAAGGCUACGAUCGAUAGCUGGUCUGAGAGGAUGAUCAGCCACACUGGGACUGAGACACGGCCCAGACUCCUACGGGAGGCAGCAGUAGGGAAUAUUGGACAAUGGGGGAAACCCUGAUCCAGCAAUGCCGCGUGCGUGAAGAAGGCCUUAGGGUUGUAAAGCGCUUUCACCUGUGAUGAUGAUGACAGUAACAGGAGAAGAAGCCCCGGCUAACUCCG